GCGGUGCCCACCAAAUUCAUUUUAUAAAUCUAGCAAUUUAAACUUAUGUUUGCCUAAACCCCCAGUUUAAGAGAAGACUAAAACAAUAUGGACUUAAACAUUAAAGUGAAAAAAAGCACACAAGACUUCCCUGCUGUUCUCGCUCCGAGCGCGCCAGGUUCUGACGCCUCAGAUUUAAAUCACCGCGAAGUUCACUUCGCAGAUGGGCGGGAAACUCGGCUUCUUGCAGGUAACGCGCCGCUCGACUUGCCACUCCGACAACGCGCUCUAAAGGUCGGCCACUGUCCAAGAAAAAGCCGGGGCUUUCCUUUUGUGUUUUUAAUCAACCGAAGACUAGAAGGGACUCCAGUCAAGAGACUGACGCCUUAUCUUGCAAGAAGGUUUCGCCAAGCUGAGUGCCCAUGUUUAUUUGGCCUUGACUUCAUCUAGACCAGUGGCAGAGUGUUGCGCAGUGUGAACCAUUGCGCCAUUGUGAACAUACUGUAUUGCACCAGCAGCUGUUCGCUUCGAUUACCGGGUCAGAGAAGACAAAAUCAGAUUAACUGAGGAGGUCCGAUGUUCUCAGGCCUGGUCAACCAACCUGCUAAAGAAGAUGAGGUCUGAUAUUCAUGCAUUAACCUGAAUCAAUGGCCUCCCGUGAAGCCAACUGCUUGUAAUGAAAAGCUGCAGGUGAGGUUCUGCCUCAGUUACCUCCUCUGAUCGCAGAUCCCUGCUGCUGAUGGUUUACAAAGCCUUUAAUAAUCUGCUCCAUCCUAUAUCCCACAAUGCCUUUCUUCUGUGCAUGUCACCAACCGGUCAUCUGAGGACAGGAACAUCUGCUUGUCGCAGAGGGAGAGGACCACCUGAAAUAAAUGGAAGGUCCUAGCAAUGGCCGCCCAGGUGCUUUGUGACAGUAAGCCAUUUUGUGUGUUGCUGUGUAGGUCCAUAGAUGCCAAGAUGAGUAGGUGAGCAGUGACUUUCAUCCCUGGGCUGGGCACUGGGGACCCGACUUUUUCUGGACAUAGUUAAUUCGUCAUUAGAUACGGGGGUCUUUCCAGACUGUCUUAAGACUGCUGUAGUUAAACCCC